AUUGAACGCUGGCGGCAGGCUUAACACAUGCAAGUCGAGCGGAGAUGAGGUGCUUGCACCUUAUCUUAGCGGCGGACGGGUGAGUAAUGCUUAGGAAUCUGCCUAUUAGUGGGGGACAACAUUCCGAAAGGAAUGCUAAUACCGCAUACGUCCUACGGGAGAAAGCAGGGGAUCUUCGGACCUUGCGCUAAUAGAUGAGCCUAAGUCGGAUUAGCUAGUUGGGUGGGUAAAGGCCUACCAAGGCGACGAUCUGUAGCGGGUCUGAGAGGAUGAUCCGCCACACUGGGACUGAGACACGGCCCAGACUCCUACGGGAGGCAGCAGUGGGGAAUAUUGGACAAUGGGGGAAACCCUGAUCCAGCCAUGCCGCGUGUGUGAAGAAGGCCUUAUGGUUGUAAAGCACUUUAAGCGAGGAGGAGGCUACUGAGACUAAUACUCUUGGAUAGUGGACGUUACUCGCAGAAUAAGCACCGGCUAACUCUGUGCCAGCCGCCGCGGUAAUAC
rnacentral:rRNA from 1 species